AUGACAUACUUACCCAGAGAAAAACUAGACUUUUCUGUUGCAGUGAGUCCCGUCCUAACUGACCACCCGGCGGAGUUUAAACGGAUAGAUCCCUUCAGGUUUGAAGUCUCUCACUUGGGAAGUACGCGUUUCUGCAAAGAACAACACGGAGCCAGCCUGCAAAUCGCGAAUUGUACUCGGGUGUUAAUACACUGCUGAGAGCUUCUUGGAUUGGCACGUGCUCUUGUGUUCCUCUCGGUAUCUACGCACUAUCUGCAAACUUUGGAAGUGGCUCGGGGACCUGAUCCGCCAGAAAUCACCAACCAAAAGUGUCCUUACCUCAUACACCUGUCCGGCUCGGCCAUCUUUCUCCUGUCUGGUGAGUGGUCAUCGGGUUCUGAUUGAGGAAGGUCAGUCAGCCUCCCGGGAAGGGGAUAAAGAAAGCUUGUUUCUUUGGUCUUCCUUUUCCUUAGUCUCAAGUUCUAUCAGUAGUCACUUUACUUACUUUCUCCUUUUCCUCUUUGGUUCUGAGCAUUAGUGUCCCUUAUGGUGCUUGCCCAUGAUUUCGGGAUGUAUGUUAAAAAUUUUGUUCUUACUUGAUUUCUUCCUGCAGUUCGGUUUCGCAGUAUAAACCCCGGAAGUGGGAUCAAGAACCCACUCUGCACCAAACGCACUUUGGACAAGGGGUAGAAUGCAGAAUACGGGGAAGAAUUACUUCCUUUUCUUGACAGCAGAGUGUAGAACAUAACGUGAGGCCCAGUGCAAAAUGCAGCUGUGGGGUCUCUUGGCCGAAGGUCAUCAACCAUUUCAAGAUAGCGACGGCAGAGCAGGAGGCCCCUCUGGGUGCAGGGCCCUGUGUCUCCGUCCCAGUCACACAGCUGGGCGCUGUCAGCUUGGACGUUGUGUUACGGGGUGAUCGCAAAACCACACCUUAGUCUCUGGGCCUGUUCCACUCCUUGAAAAUUAGAGACUGUCUCCACCAGAGUCAUCAGUAUAGUUGUUUUCUUAGGAGCCCUCUGCCUUCACAGUUCCCAGGGUUUGGGAGCUGUUGGAGUUUUAAAAUCUCAACCAAGCCACAUGGACACCGUCUCAUCAGAAGACCCAAAACUGAGCCGGAAACCAAGCAGAGAGAGUGAACUGAACGAAGAGGGCUCCCUACCCGCAGCUGGCGAUUUCUCAGCCACCCACCCCAAAGGCAGUGUCCCCGACUCUCCCCCUUGUUCUGUUCAGGUGUCUUUGUAGAGCCCUGGAUCAGAGGUGUGUUUCAUGGUGGAGGAAGUGAAGGGGUAGAAUUGCGUGUGAAGAAGCAGAGAGGCGGUCUUGUAUUUUGGUUCCUAAAUUACACAGAUGCCUCUUCCCCAUUGUCUCUACAAAUGUGCACUUACUGGGCUGUUUCGUAACAGUAUUUCAUUGUCUUUAACAAAGCUCUUCCUCCAUCUGUGAAGCUGAAGUUUUAAUAAAAAUCUUCCUCUCUCUGGGAGCGUUGUGACU
rnacentral:lncRNA from 1 species